AGAGUUUGAUCCUGGCUCAGGAUGAACGCUGGCGGCGUGCCUAACACAUGCAAGUCGAGCGAGAAGUAAAGAAAUGAAGCUUCGGUAGAUUUUCAUUAUGGAAAGCGGCGGACGGGUGAGUAACGCGUAGGCAACCUGCCCUGUACAGGGGGAUAGCCACCCGAAAAGGUGAUUAAUACCCCAUAAAGCAAGAGAUACACAUGUAUCACUUGUCAAAGAUUUAUCGGUAUGGGAUGGGCCUGCGUCUGAUUAGCUAGUUGGUAGGGUAACGGCUUACCAAGGCAACGAUCAGUAGCCGACCUGAGAGGGUGAUCGGCCACAUUGGAACUGAGACACGGUCCAAACUCCUACGGGAGGCAGCAGUGGGGAAUAUUGCACAAUGGGGGAAACCCUGAUGCAGCAACGCCGCGUGAAGGAAGAAGGCCUUCGGGUUGUAAACUUCUGUCCUAGGGGAAGAAACAAAUGACAUUACCCUUGGAGGAAGCCCCGGCUAACUACGUGCCAGCAGCCGCGGUAAUACGUAGGGGGCGAGCGUUAUCCGGAAUUAUUGGGCGUAAAGAGUGCGUAGGUGGCAUCUUAAGCGCAGGGUUUAAGGCAAUGGCUCAACCAUUGUUCGCCUUGCGAACUGGGGUGCUUGAGUGCAGGAGGGGAAAGUGGAAUUCCUAGUGUAGCGGUGAAAUGCGUAGAUAUUAGGAGGAACACCAGUGGCGAAGGCGACUUUCUGGACUGUUACUGACACUGAGGCACGAAAGCGUGGGGAGCAAACAGGAUUAGAUACCCUGGUAGUCCACGCCGUAAAC
rnacentral:rRNA from 1 species